rnacentral:rRNA from 1 species
UUGAACGCUGGCGGUAUGCCUUACACAUGCAAGUCGAACGGUAGAGGAGCAAUCCUCGAGAGUGGCGAACGGGUGAGUAAUACAUCGGAACGUGCCCAGUCGUGGGGGAAUAACGUAGCGAAAGCUACGCUAAUACCGCAUACGACCCGAGGGUGAAAGCGGGGGACUCGCAAGAGCCUCGCGCGAUUGGAGCGGCCGAUGGCAGAUUAGGUAGUUGGUGGGGUAAAGGCCCACCAAGCCUGCGAUCUGUAGCUGGUCUGAGAGGACGACCAGCCACACUGGGACUGAGACACGGCCCAGACUCCUACGGGAGGCAGCAGUGGGGAAUUUUGGACAAUGGGCGAAAGCCUGAUCCAGCCAUACCGCGUGCGGGAAGAAGGCCUUCGGGUUGUAAACCGCUUUUGUCAGGGAAGAAAUACUUCGGGCUAAUACCCUGGGGUGAUGACGGUACCUGAAGAAUAAGCACCGGCUAACUACGUGCCAGCAGCCGCGGUAAUACGUAGGGUGCAAGCGUUAAUCGGAAUUACUGGGCGUAAAGCGUGCGCAGGCGGUUCUAUAAGACAGAUGUGAAAUCCCCGGGCUCAACCUGNGAACUGCAUUUGUGACUGUAGAGCUAGAGUACGG